rnacentral:rRNA from 1 species
AGAAUAAAAAAAUUCAAAAUAAAUAUAAAAAUAAAAUUACUUUUAAAUUCUAAAAAAAAAUUCAAAUAAACUCAUAAAAUAAAAAAUAACUCAUUUAAACUAAAUAAAACUAAAUCUUAAUCUGAAAUUAAACAAUUAAACCAAAAAAUAAAUUAAACAACGAUAUAUAAACUUAAACCAAGUAAAAUUAAUCGUGUAAAAUCAAAUUAAUAAACAAGUUCCUCUAAAAACAACCAACCGCCAUCAAAUUUAACUUUAAUAAAACAAUUAAUAAUCAAAAAAAUAAAAAAUAAAAGGGUAUCUAAUCCUCAUCUAAACAAUCAAAUUAAAAGAACAAAUAAAAAAAAAAAAAUAUUCAUUUCACAAAAAAUAAAAACAACAAAAACCAAAAAUCUCACAAACCAAAAUCACCGCUUAAUUAAAUUGU